CCGCUUGUUGCAAAUGCGGAUCUGAAACCAGGAGAGAGGAGAGAAGCGCUCAGAGACCGCCGGCCGCGUGCUCAGCCGCCCAGGCCCCCGCGGGGGAAAGAAGAACCUAUCAUGAGCCUUAGCUGACUGGUUUCAUGGUCAUGACUAUAUAUCUCCUAGUUUGGGAACCAAGGGCUGUCAAGUGAGGCAAUUCCAAAUGGAUUUGUGGAUUGGAGUUUUCAGCACUGCUGUUGGAAGCCUAACAGGCACAUGAUUGUUGUAAGGAUUAGAUGAAGAAACAUGAAUAUGGAUCAAAACUAGGUCUGAAGGGCUCUGUCAAUAAGUGACAUCUGGGAUGGGUUAUUGAGAAGUACUGGAGUGAUUUGCCAUUUCCUUCUCCAAUUCAUUUGACAGACGAGGAAACUGAGGCACACGGGGUAAAGUGAUUUCCCCAAGGCCACACAGUUAAUGAGUGUCAGAGACCAGAUUUGAAGUUAAGAAGAGAAGUCCUGGGUACCAGAGUUUUAAUGUACUGUUUAAUGGCCUUUUUCCCAUUUGAGUUUGACAUCACUGGUCCAAUUUAUCUUUAUUAUAGAGUAUAUAGAGCUAAUUCUCUCAGAAUAAAGUGAUACAACAUGA